CGGAGAGUCAGUAGGAUUGGAGGUGUGGGCAGGCAACGAAUCUUCACCAGUAGUAGCCAUUGUCGAGGUGUGAUCCAGAGUUUAUUGACACAAGUAUGGAGAUGUGAGACUUGACAAAUAAACUGCGGCGGUUAGGUACUCGCAAUGCGAAUGACAAUAGUCUUAGGUCCGAUAACGAAUCCGCGGUCAACGGGACUCUUUUAUUCUUUACGCGUCGGCAACGCCCAGGUGGUACUCUCAGUUAGCACGCGAAGUAAGCACUCUAUCGAAAUGAUACC
rnacentral:misc_RNA from 1 species